rnacentral:rRNA from 1 species
GCUGCUUCGCUGACGAGUGGCGGACGGGUGAGUAAUGUCUGGGAAACUCGCCUGAUGGAGGGGGAUAACUACUGGAAACGGUAGCUAAUACCGCAUAACGUCGCAAGACCAAAGAGGGGGACCUUCGGGCCUCUUGCCAUCGGAUGUGCCCAGAUGGGAUUAGCUUGUUGGUGGGGUAACGGCUCACCUAGGCGACGAUCCCUAGCUGGUCUGAGAGGAUGACCAGCCACACUGGAACUGAGACACGGUCCAGACUCCUACGGGAGGCAGCAGUGGGGAAUAUUGCACAAUGGGCGCAAGCCUGAUGCAGCCAUGCCGCGUGUAUGAAGAAGGCCUUCGGGUUGUAAAGUACUUUCAGCGGGGAGGAAGGGAGUAAAGUUAAUACCUUUGCUCAUUGACGUUACCCGCAGAAGAAGCACCGGCUAACUCCGUGCCAGCAGCCGCGGUAAUACGGAGGGUGCAAGCGUUAAUCGGAAUUACUGGGCGUAAAGCGCACGCAGGCGGUUUGUUAAGUCAGAUGUGAAAUCCCCGGGCUCAACCUGGGAACUGCAUCUGAUACUGGCAAGCUUGAGUCUCGUAGAGGGGGGUAGAAUUCCAGGUGUAGCGGUGAAAUGCGUAGAGAUCUGGAGGAAUACCGGUGGCGAAGGCGGCCCCCUGGACGAAGACUGACGCUCAGGUGCGAAAGCGUGGGGAGCAAACAGGAUUAGAUACCCUGGUAGUCCACGCCGUAAACGAUGUCGACUUGGAGGUUGUGCCCUUGAGGCGUGGCUUCCGGAGCUAACGCGUUAAGUCGACCGCCUGGGGAGUACGGCCGCAAGGUUAAAACUCAAAUGAAUUGACGGGGGCCCGCACAAGCGGUGGAGCAUGUGGUUUAAUUCGAUGCAACGCGAAGAACCUUACCUGGUCUUGACAUCCACGGAAGUUUUCAGAGAUGAGAAUGUGCCUUCGGGAACCGUGAGACAGGUGCUGCAUGGCUGUCGUCAGCUCGUGUUGUGAAAUGUUGGGUUAAGUCCCGCAACGAGCGCAACCCUUAUCCUUUGUUGCCAGCGGUCCGGCCGGGAACUCAAAGGAGACUGCCAGUGAUAAACUGGAAGAAAGGUGGGGAU